CUUAAUAAAAGUCCCUCGCUUACACCGAGUCCAUAUCUGUUAAACCCGGAUCACCUUGAG
rnacentral:tRNA from 1 species